rnacentral:misc_RNA from 1 species
AAAAAAAAACUUCCACAGCAUAUUGAAUCUCUGACCAGCAUAAACUUAAAAAUUAUCAGAACUGAUGUUUGUUUAAUUUAACUACUACAUAUUACAAUAAAUAGAGGGAAGAUUUUGUCUGUGUCAGCCUCUAUAUUCUUUUUCUACUCUGUAAAUUGAACAUUCGCGAAUGAUAUAAAGAACAAGCAACUAUUUUCUCUAAUGCAGAAUACGAAGCAAAUUACCUACGGAAGAUAUCUCCACUGUUCAUGUUAGAUCUGUUAUGGUCUUCAAGUCCAGGCUCCAUUAGAUCAAUGAACUUCAUAUACCGAUUACGUUUCUUUGUGAACUUUUUCAUUGCUUUAUCAUGCAUUCUAUUCCACUUCUCUAUCUGGCUUACGAUUUUUUGCAAGUCUCUCUUCUUUUCUUCAAUUUUCUUCUUGAUUUCUAAACUCACUGGAGAACAAUCCAUCGCAUCAUCCAGCAUUUCAACGGGAAAACAGAUUUCAGGAUUCCCACAUCCAAGAGAAAUAAUUCCGUUCUCUCUCAAAAUUCCACCAUCAAGAGAGACAGCACCACGCUCAAUAGAAGCACGAGCCCUUACCAUAUGCUCCCUGGUUUCAUAAACUUGAAGCUCACCAAAAAGGCGAUAGAAUAAGGUCUCUCGAAGACCAUUGCCAGAUCUUGUCCUAAUACAAGAAUGAUAGAUAUCUAAGUUAAUCAUAUUAACUGCAUAGCCAAUGAAACCUGAUGCUGUAUUCCCAUUACGCAAGAGAGGAUCUGGCAAGACUAGCUUCCUUUGAGGGUCACUCUCAUCGACCUCUCCUUUGUAUGCCCUUAUAUCCUCAAGGCAAAUAACGAGAAAUCGGCCAGAUAUUGAUUUUCCAAGAGAAGCUGCUUCUGCAUGAAAAGCAACAUUGCUAUCAACUUCCCCAUUUUCCUUGUACUUCUCAAGUGAGCUGGCAGCUUCAUAGGAACCACAAACUAUAGCAAGCAUUUGAUCUUCACCUAAGUACUCCGCCAAUAUCCUGCUUAGUUUACUGCUACAAACCGUUCCAAGUAAUGCAACCAGGCCAAAUAUAUCUUGCAUGAAAAGCUUCUGGGUUUCUUGGAAUGAAAAAUUUCUAGAAAGAUGGCAGAGAGUGGCGGCUGCAGAAUGGCUCUUGCUCUUAAUCUGCUCUGUAAUUUCCUCUUUUGCGGACAGAUAGUUCACAUUAUUAAACAACUGAAGUUCUGUGGAAGCUUCAAGCUCAGAUAACCCUUGCUCAUGAUCUGCCUUCAAUUCAUUAAGCUCUUUUAGUUGAUUUUCACAAAAUCCAAUUCGCUCACCAUAUUUGAAAAUUUCUUCCUCUAGUCCCUUUUCAAGAUUCACAAUUGACUGCAUUAGAUUUCCUGCAUUAUCAAAUGAUGCUGUGUUUCCUACAUUCUUCUGCAAUGAUGAAUCCUGUAGCAAUAAUAACUUUCCGUGUGAACAUGGAGAUUGAACCUCAUCAUACUCCACAUUUCGAGCUUCUAAGACAGACACAUUGAAACUUAGACGUAGCUCUGGGUAAAAGGUGUGAGCAACAUCGAGGCAAUAGUUUCCUUCAAUUGCAGGAAGGGGAACAACAGGGACAGUGCAACGCCCAUGCCUAAAAGCAUAGCAAACACAAUCCUCUGAUUUAAAUGAAUCUGACUUUAUUGUAAGCGUAUGAGAUUGGCUGCACUUAUCUUGAUCAUGAAUAGUUUUAUCAACAUCACCCUCAGAAUUGACUACUUCAAAAACUAGAUUUUCCAGCAGAGAACCAGCAGUUAAAUAUUCCGGUACCUUUGAAGCAAUUCUCAGCUCCCUCUUGCCAAUUUGAAACUCUUGCUUGAAAACUACUUUGUUGAAAGAUGAAACAGAAAUUGACACUGCAGGGCAGUGCAUUAUAAUGUAAUUACCAUGAACUAAUACAGGCUAAAUAUUACUGACUCUGAAUUGUUAGGUUGAACUUCAUACUGUACAAAAGUAUUUGCUGUGAUUUUUCACAAACUAAGUGAAGAAUCCUAUGCCGGGCAAAUUCGACCUAUGGUAAAUAAGUCAAGCUUACCUUUUCAUCCAAGAGUAGCAAGUUUUGAGUGCUUACUUGCAAAAACAAAGCUAUCGCACGAAAAGUGUAGGAUCGAGUGCUUACUACCAUGCUAAAAGCUUAAACUAUUGGCUGAGGCACAACCCCAAUUUCUUAUAUUGUAGCAGCCUAGCCUUCGCUUUUAGGGAGUGAGCUAAGAUUGUUUUAUACCCUAAAGCUGGUAAGGGAAAUAAAAAAAUACAGAAAGAAUUUAUGGGUCGAAAGGAUCAUGGCAGGAUGCUAACCUACUGCACUAUGCUAACCUACUACACUAUCCCCAACCACUCAGUGCCAACAAUUCCCCCCAACACCUACUUAGGAUUCGAACCCAUGACUUCAUCUCUGAUACCAAUUAUAGGAUCAAGCUCUUACCACCGUGACAAAAGCUUAUGCGGUUAGUAGAGGCGCAAUUCUAACUCCUUAUAGUGUAGCAACCCAAGCGCCAUAAGCCGAAAAGGUGAUGCUGGCUCACCGAGUUAUCCUCACUCAAUGUCAACAAAAAGGUCAAACUCCAUUCAACCUAGGAAUAUUAUUAUUGACUAUGUGGUCCACAAAAGCUUGGAAUGUUAAUAAACAUAAUUUAACUAAUAAUCUAUGGUUAUAUUAUUCAAAAGAAACAGAAAACAUUCCCACUAACAACCAUUUACAUAUUGACAACAAUGGUUCAUAACAUUGGAGGCAUAACAAGGUAUGAUGUUAGGCUUUAGCAAAAUUCAAAUGCAGUGUUUUUUUUCUUUUCCCUCCUAUGUUGUUGCUUGGCUUAAAAUGACGUGGAAGGAAGUAUUAUAAAAAAAUCUACAAUUUUUUUUAACAUUGAUUAGGAAUUGGUCUCAAACAGAACUGAAUGGCAAAAGUAGAUCCGUAUAACCAACCAUAAUUAGUUUGGGAUUAAGGCUUAAAUGUUAUUGUCGUCGUAUUUUGUUGUUUGACCUAGUUUUUUCAAGAGUGUUACUGCUUUUGUUGACUCCAGGACAGUUUAAUAGUGAGAAAUAUGAAGGAAUUAAAAGUUGAUAGAUAAUAGAGACAUACCAGUUUUCCCAAACCCAGCUGUUACUUUCAGGAUACCACUAAGGUCGAUAAAUCCAUUGACAUCCACCUAGGUUGAAAAAGUUACAAAUCAACAAAAUAUAAUAUUAUAUGAAGCAUCAUCAUACUCAAAACUCAACGACUGAAGUCUUAUUUCCAACACCUGAAAUUCUUAUCAAACUGCCUUGCACGGAAAAGAAGAAUAUAGCAUCAUUCCACACACUAUGUCGAUUCUAUAUUGACAGAUGAGAAAACCCCACCCCUGUUUCCCUUGCUCUUUUCCUUUUGAAAAGCAAUAAGCAGAUAUGCAUUUUAAACUAUACAGAAACUUAUUUACAAAAAGGCAGACAUCAAAUAGAAGAUAAAUGAAGGGUUCUACACUCUGCUCUAUUCUACUUUGAAAACCAUAGAAAAAGAUAAACAAACAAAACAAGCAAUUGAAGGUUUAGCAUAUUAAAUAAGGAGGAAAGAACUAGUAUAACGUGCGGUGUAGUGAAGAAGGAUGUACCAACAGUAGACCAUUGAGCAGAUGUAGCCCUGAACCAAGUGGGAUUAAAGUUUAGUUAAAAUUGAAUGUUAGAUUUCUAUUCAAAAUCAAUGCUUUCUUAAUGACAAAACACACACACCAAAAAAAGUCUUUGAAGAUUGACAAAUGGAAAAGACCUCUCCAUUGCCUAACACCUGUUGAUGUACUCGUAAAAGGAUUCUUACACGUCUUAUUUCUUUCACAUGUAUCAUCAGCAUUCAUCAAAGACUAAAAUGUAAAUAACAAAUUCAAGAAAAAUAUAUGGAAAUCAAAUAUAUCGAACAAGCAUAAAGGCAAUUCUUCAGACAGAACAGGAAUGCAGCAUGGAUAUACCAACUAUGCUCAGUAAAACCUGACCUUACGAAAUGGACCUGUUUGAUCAAGGAUAUCAAAUCCAUCUGCAUUGAGUUGAACACCAAUAUCUUUUGCAACAUGAUUACCAUAAACAUCAAACAUCUCUAAUACCAACUCCUUAACAACAAGACCUGUAAACAAUUGGUUUUCAGGUAACGGUGAUUGUAGUAUGACAUGAUCUAAAUGUCCAGGAGUGACUUUACAUGGAACGGAAAGCGGAUCUAGCUCAUCUUGUAGGAAUAUCAGCAAAAUGGCUUCAUAACUUGGCCGUAUUUUAUCCAACUCAUUACUUUCAAUUAGUAGAUCCAUAACUUUAAGUGUCAAUUUAUCAGAUGAAAGGCUGGUCUUAACUUUGUCAAUUUGAGCAUGCAAGCCAUCAUGUAAUUUUAGUGUAACUCUUACACCUGGAAGUGAGACAAAUGGAAUCUGAUUGUCAUAUUUGUCAAAACAACCUAUUGCCAGUGGUCGAAACGUUGAGCCCACCCUCACAAUAUAUGGUUGACUCCCAUUAUUACUCAAAAGUUUCCACUUUGCAAACUUUGAAGAUGCCCUUACUACCACAUUUUUCUCACAUUCCUUACAAAUAGAACCAACAAGAGAGAACAAAAAUCUAUAAACACCCGGAUGUUGGAACAAGUUAGGAAACUUCUGACCCAGUGGAAAAAUGUAUAAGCCAUUGAAACCUUUGCGACAUGAAGGAGCAACACGUUUUGAGUACAUAUGUUCUACACUUCUGCAAUCCUUUGCUUCUCUUCUAAAACUAACUUCCAUAGACAUCUCCGAUACAUCUUUGAAAAUAUACUUUUGGUCCAAACUGUUUGAAGUGCUAGAAGCAACAUAACUGGCAGGCCGAAUAACUGCCACAAUUUCAAGCGGAGGUACUUGUCCAACAUCAAUUGUAGCAUCAAACGGUAAUGCCCCAUCAACUUCCAACUCUUGACAAUGUUUUGUGCCCAGCAAGUCAAUUGUAGAGGGCGCUCUCAAACGUCGCUUCUCAAGUUGUUUAUCCCACUCAUUCCUUUCAAUUACUAGACACUUUCCAGAAUCAACUAUACUAAAAGGCAAGGAUAAAGAGCGACGGAUUUCCAAACUUAUUGUCCCAUUGUUCAAUUCAAGCACACAGCCAUCCUCGUCUCCAACAUCAAGUGGUCUGCAUAUCAUCCGAGCAUCCCCACCAGCAUCUCCUUGAAAACCUUCAAUCAAAAAAUAUUCUAAUGUUGCAUAUACAUUGGUCUUAUACAACCCCGGACAAGCUCCCUUAAGAACUUUUAUUUUCUGACCACAUUUCCAAGAUACGCCUUUCCUCUUCAAAAUCCGAUGCACCCGUACAACAUCAGAAGAAAUCCCAAGAUCCCUUUUGUUUGUAGGACUAACAAUAAGAACUGGAUCAUCCUCACCGUAACCAACUUCUUCGUCAUAACAUUCAUGCAUUUGAAGAAUCCAAUCUUGAUACUCCUUUUCCAGUUGCAAAGGAGUUAACAAUUUACCAUUUCGAGAAAUUUCAACAUUGGUUUCUAUAAGCAUGAAAUUAGUUAAAAAAAGCAGCAAACAAAAUAAACCAAUCACUAGUUGUUUCACAUGUAUAAUUGAAAAGAAGAAAAAUUUAACCUUUUUCCUUCUCAAACAUCUUACUACCAAAGUUCUUCAAAGCGGUAGUAAAAGGAUUAUAGUGUGCUAGAUCAGUCUGCAGAACAAUAAUUUAAAUUAAUCAUAUAAAUAUGAAUGCUAGCAAUAGUAUAUCUAUGUACAUAGAGAGCGAGAGAAAACAAAAAGCAUACAAGAAAGCACUUUUCACAAGAUUUUACAACCAUAUUUUUCACUUGUAUCCUAAAAGUUACAUGCAAUUGCAUUACAAUGAUGCCCAAACAUUCUUCCUAAACCACUCACUCCCUUGAUGCAAAAUCUAUUUAUGUUUAAACUUAACAAUUUUUUAUAUGGCAUUUGUUAGGUUUAGUUUCAAAUUCCUAUAUGAUUUCAGAUUUCCAAUAGAGACUUCCUAUAGGUUUUCAACAUAUUUGGAUUCAAUUACAAGGAUUUAUUGGUUUUGGCCAAUCACUUUUAGGGUACCCUUUAUGAGCUAAAUUUUUCUUUAAAGACAAGGUGUUUUUCACUUCUAUCUUUAGCAGUGUUAAUCAUAAAGAACUAAACUUUUUUUUAAAUAAAAAUAAA